rnacentral:rRNA from 1 species
UAAAAGAUAUAAUCUUUAAAUUUAAAGGAUUUGGCGGUAAAUUAAUUUAUCUAGAGGAAUUUGUUUUGUAAUUGAUAUUACUCAUUUUAUCUUACCUUAAUUUAUAUAUUAAUAUGUAUAUCAUCGUUUAUAUGAAUAUUUUUAUAGAAUAAAUUUUCUUUUUAAUUAUAUUAUUAAAAUCAGAUCAAGGUGCAGUUUAUAUUAAGGUUGUUAAUGAAUUACAUUUAUUAAUAAUAAUUAUGAAUUAUUAAUUGAAAUUUUAAUAUGAAGGUGGAUUUAGAAGUAAAUACUUAGUAGAGUGAUUUUUUGAAUAUAAUUUUGAUUUAUGU